AUUGAACGCUGGCGGCAGGCUUAACACAUGCAAGUCGAGCGGAGAUGAGGUGCUUGCUCCUUAUCUUAGCGGCGGACGGGUGAGUAAUGCUUAGGAAUCUGCCUAUUAGUGGGGGACAACAUUCCGAAAGGAAUGCUAAUACCGCAUACGUCCUACGGGAGAAAGCAGGGGAUCUUCGGACCUUGCGCUAAUAGAUGAGCCUAAGUCGGAUUAGCUAGUUGGUGGGGUAAAGGCCUACCAAGGCGACGAUCUGUAGCGGGUCUGAGAGGAUGAUCCGCCACACUGGGACUGAGACACGGCCCAGACUCCUACGGGAGGCAGCAGUGGGGAAUAUUGGACAAUGGGGGAAACCCUGAUCCAGCCAUGCCGCGUGUGUGAAGAAGGCCUUAUGGUUGUAAAGCACUUUAAGCGAGGAGGAGGCUACUGAGACUAAUACUCUUGGAUAGUGGACGUUACUCGCAGAAUAAGCACCGGCUAAUUCUGUGCCAGCCGCCGCGGUAA
rnacentral:rRNA from 1 species